rnacentral:rRNA from 1 species
GACGAACCACACGAACGUUAUUCGGAAUUACUGGGCUUAAAGGGUGCGUAGGCGGCGCAGAAAGUUGGGUGUGAAAUCCCUCGGCUCAACCGAGGAACUGCGCCCAAAACUACUGUGCUUGAGGAAGAUAGAGGUAAGCGGAACUUACGGUGGAGCGGUGAAAUGCGUUGAUAUCGUAAGGAACACCUGUGGCGAAAGCGGCUUACUGGGUCUUUUCUGACGCUGAUGCACGAAAGCCGAGG